rnacentral:rRNA from 1 species
CCUACGGGGGGCAGCAGUGGGGAAUAUUGCGCAAUGGGCGAAAGCCUGACGCAGCGACGCCGCGUGAGGGAUGAAGGUCUUCGGAUCGUAAACCUCUGUCAGCAGGGAAGAACGGUCACUGUGCUAAUCAGCAGUGACUUGACGGUACCUGCAAAGGAAGCACCGGCUAACUCCGUGCCAGCAGCCGCGGUAAUACGGAGGGUGCGAGCGUUAAUCGGAAUUACUGGGCGUACAGCGCUCGUAGGCGGUAUGUCAAGUCAAGGGUGAAAUCCCCGCGCUAAACGUGGGAACUGCCUUUGAAACUGACAAACUGGAGUGUGUGAGAGGAUAGUGGAAUUCCAGGUGUAGGAGUGAAAUCCGUAGAUAUCUGGAGGAACAUCAGUGGCGAAGGCGACUAUCUGGCACAUAACUGACGCUGAGGAGCGAAAGCGUGGGUAGCAAACAGGAUUAGAUACCCUGGUAGUC